rnacentral:rRNA from 1 species
AGAAUUUGAUCUUGGUUCAGGAUGAACGCUAGCUACAGGCUUAACACAUGCAAGUCGAGGGGCAGCGAGAAGGAAGCUUGCUUUCUUUGUCGGCGACCGGCGCACGGGUGAGUAACGCGUAUCCAACCUUCCCCUUAGUAGGGCAUAGCCCGUAGAAAUGCGGAUUAAUACCCUAUGUUGUUCGAUGCGGACAUCUAAGUUGAACCAAAGGUUUACCGCUAAGGGAUGGGGAUGCGUCCGAUUAGGCAGCAGGCGGGGUAACGGCCCACCUGGCCGACGAUCGGUAGGGGUUCUGAGAGGAAGGUCCCCCACAUUGGAACUGAGACACGGUCCAAACUCCUACGGGAGGCAGCAGUGAGGAAUAUUGGUCAAUGGGCGAGAGCCUGAACCAGCCAAGUAGCGUGCAGGAUGACGGCCCUAUGGGUUGUAAACUGCUUUUAUGCGGGGAUAAAGUGAGGGACGUGUCCCUUAUUGUAGGUACCGCAUGAAUAAGGACCGGCUAAUUCCGUGCCAGCCGCUGC